rnacentral:rRNA from 1 species
GAUGAACGCUGGCGGCGUGCUUAACACAUGCAAGUCGAACGGUGAACACGGAGCUUGCUCUGUGGGAUCAGUGGCGAACGGGUGAGUAACACGUGAGCAACCUGCCCCUGACUCUGGGAUAAGCGCUGGAAACGGCGUCUAAUACUGGAUAUGUGACGUGACCGCAUGGUCUGCGUUUGGAAAGAUUUUUCGGUUGGGGAUGGGCUCGCGGCCUAUCAGCUUGUUGGUGAGGUAAUGGCUCACCAAGGCGUCGACGGGUAGCCGGCCUGAGAGGGUGACCGGCCACACUGGGAUUGAGAAACGGCCCAGACUCCUACGGGAGGCAGCAGUGGGGAAUAUUGCACAAUGGGCGAAAGCCUGAUGCAGCAACGCCGCGUGAGGGAUGACGGCCUUCGGGUUGUAAACCUUUUUUAGCAGGGAAGAAGCGAAAGUGACGGUACCUGCAGAAAAAGCGCCGGCUAACUACGUG